rnacentral:lncRNA from 1 species
AAGAAAACUAACACUGAAUAUAAGAAUUGUGGGUUGCAAAGAGCUUGUUCUUCUUUUUCUUUGCAGAAAGUUUUUCAUUGCAGGAGACUGCAAAUUGAUAUAGAGUUGUAUAUGUUUGCAAGAUAUAUAGUGGUUCGAUGUUAUUAACUGACAAAGGGUGUGGUGUGUGCAAUAUACAGAAAUAAAAUUCCCAGAAAUUCAAUAUCACACUGAUUUCUAAACGGAUUGGAAAUCACUUCCAAGAGAAAACAACUGGAAAUUUCAAGGCUGUCUUCUCUUCAUUGAACCACUGAAGGCUUUAAAUAGAUGAUUACAGAUAACUAAUUGACCCACUAACAUGCUAAAAAACCAGCUAAUUAACCCACUAACUUACUAAAAACCAGCAGAAAUUAAACCAUGAACUAAGAGCUAAACUGCAGAACACCCCAAGUACAUCAAGACCCAUGCAAUAAACUGAUAUAAUGGAGUUUGUGGGGGAAUUAGGCCCCAUUUGGUAGGGAUUUUUUGUCCCAAAAAAUUGAUUUUUUGACCGUUAUUUUACUAUUCAAACCGUAAUUUUUGACUUCUUUUCUCACAUAUAGACCCCACUUUUCUUCUAACGGUCAAAAAAUCAAUUCUCAAAAUCUCUACCAAACGGGCCCUUAAUCAGUUACUAAAGAUAAAAAUGCUAAUAAAUUCCACGUGUAUUUACAAGUCAGCUGCCAGUAGAUUCCAACUGAGAUCCCAAGUAGAAAGAGGACUUAGUCUUGCAUCAAUUGCUGCCCUCCUGAAGAACUUGUCUCCGACAAGUGUUGGUUGAGAUAGGUAUCCAGUAAUUCAGGAUUGAUACGUAAAAUUUCAUCUGCAUGUGACCAAGCAGAUUCUGAAACUGGUUUAUUGUUGUGAUUCUCCGAUCACGUGAAGAGAAAAUAAAAGAGGAAAAACAAUUCUAUUUCUACUUGAAUAGAAUUUACAAUGGAGUUUACAAACUCUCAAAAAAAACCUCUCAAAAGAGUCUCUAAUCUCUCUUUUAUUUCUCUCUUCUAUAUCCUAUUUUUC